rnacentral:rRNA from 1 species
GGAUGAACGCUAGCGACAGGCUUAACACAUGCAAGUCGAGGGGCAGCACAGGUAGCAAUACCGGGUGGCGACCGGCGCACGGGUGAGUAACGCGUAUGCAACUUACCUAUCAGAGGGGGAUAACCCGGCGAAAGUCGGACUAAUACCGCAUGAAGCAGGGGCCCCGCAUGGGGAUAUUUGCUAAAGAUUCAUCGCUGAUAGAUAGGCAUGCGUUCCAUUAGGCAGUUGGCGGGGUAACGGCCCACCAAACCGACGAUGGAUAGGGGUUCUGAGAGGAAGGUCCCCCACAUUGGUACUGAGACACGGACCAAACUCCUACGGGAGGCAGCAGUGAGGAAUAUUGGUCAAUGGGCGUAAGCCUGAACCAGCCAAGUCGCGUGAGGGAUGAAGGUUCUAUGGAUCGUAAACCUCUUUUAUAAAGGAAUAAAGUGCGGUAUGCAUACCCGUUUGCAUGUACUUUAUGAAUAAGGAUCGGCUAACUCCGUGCCAGCAGCCGCGGUAAU